GUGCUUGCUUCAGCAACACAUAUACUCAAAUUGGAAUGAUACAGAGAAGAUUAGCAUGUCCAAUGCACAAGGAUGACACAAAAAUUUGUGAAGCUUUCCAUAUUAAA